ACGCCCACGCAAUGCUGUAGCGGUAACUGAAGCAAGGCAUCUGUUUAGAAGGACAGAGAAGUGCCUUGGCCUCAGGGAUAUUGCACAGGGCUAUGCCAGUUAGUACUAUGCUCUUAGUACCUAGUAUAGUUGUAACCUUAACCUAGAAGUGUCUACUAAAGGAGUUUCAUGAGUUUUUUUAAGCUUUCCUUGACUGGCUGAGGAUUGUGGGAUUUUUUUAUCUCUCCAAAAAGAAGUACAGCCUGUUUGAGAUUGAAGACAAGUACAGUGUUAUACGAAUGGAUCGGCAAGUUUUUUGGGGAAGAGUUAUGAGAGAAUAAACGACGGAAGUGUCAGUUGUGGAAGACCCAAGAGUUUACAUCGGCAGACUGUAGCACGUUCACUGAACCACUACCAAAGAGGACGUUCAAGAAAAUUGCAUCAUUAUUUCUGUCUUUACAUCACGAGUAGACAUACAAUAAUUAUGUUAAAUUGUUUGUAUAAUGAAUUGUUUAUGAUCUAGAUCUAUAAAAGAGAAGUUAACAUGUUCUUGAACUUCUAUUAACACUG